rnacentral:rRNA from 1 species
UACGUAGGGGGCGAGCGUUGUCCGAAUUUACUGGGCGUAAAGCGCGCGUAGGCGGUUUCUUAAGUCUGGGGUGAAAGGUUCAGCGCUCAACGUGAACAGUGCCUUGGAUACUGGGAGACUUGAGUCUGGGAGGGGGCAGUGGAAUUCCUGGUGUAGCGGUGAAAUGCGUAGAUAUCAGGAGGAACACCGGUGGCGAAGGCGGCUGCCUGGCCUAAGACUGACGCUGAGGUGCGAAAGCGUGGGUAGCGAACGGG